UACGGAGGGUGCAAGCGUUAAUCGGAUUUAUUGGGCGUAAAGAGGGUGCAGGCGGGAAAGUAAGUCAGACGUGAAAGCCCAGGGCUCAACCCUGGACUUGCGUUUGAAACUGCUUUUCUUGAGGGUAGGCGGAGAAAACGGAAUUCCACAAGUAGCGGUGAAAUGCGUAGAUAUGUGGAAGAACACCCGUGGCGAAAGCGGUUUUCUAGCUUAUUCCUGACGCUCAGGCCCGAAAGCUAGGGGAGCAAACAGG
rnacentral:rRNA from 1 species